CCUACGGGUGGCAGCAGUGGGGAAUAUUGGGCAAUGGGGGGAACCCUGAUCCAGCGACGCCGCGUGAGUGAAGAAGUAUUUCGGAAUGUAAAGCUCUGUCAGCAGGGAAGAAAGUGCCGGUACCUAACUAAGAAGCCCCGGCUACCUACGUGCCAGCAGCCGCGGUAAUACGUAGGGGGCGAGCGUUAGCCGGAGUUACGGGGAGUAAAGGGAGCGUAGACGGUGCGGCAAGUCUGAUGUGAAAGGUCCGGGCCCAACCCCGGGACUGCCUUGGAAACUGUGUAACUGGAGUGCAGGAGAGGUAAGCGGAAUUCCUGGUGUAGGGAUGAAAUGCGUAGAUAUUAGGAGGAACACCAGUGGCGAAGGCGGCUAACUGG
rnacentral:rRNA from 1 species